GUUCUGUUGCCUUAGCUUAGUAAAUUUUCAUGGAGAGCUUUAAGUUUUUCUUUUUGCAUGUUAUCCUCAUGGUUGUACUCUCCAGGGGGCUUGUUCCUUCGGUAAUUAUCUUUAAUGACGGUAUUUCCAUAUUGACGCGAGGUGGGUGGGGUGUUGAAGAGAGAGGGAGACUCGAGACGGUGCAUUGACUCUGGAUUACAUUAGAGGGGUUAGAUGGAUGAGUGUUAGUUACAUCCCAAUCAGAACAUUUGCACCACUAGGUUUCACCAAAUGCCAAUCAUACUGGACUGAGCUCCUCUGCUCCUCUCCCUGAAACAUUAACAAAAAGUCAUUAACAAAAAGCCUUCCUGUUCUGAAGGCAAAUAUCUAUCUAUCUAUCUCAUCAGUCUUAGGGCUGGAAGAGAUGCAGCUCUGGGCUGGCUCUGAUGCGGACUUGUCACAAAGGCUUGGACAGCUGUUUCCAGCCACUGCUAUGAACCCAUCUAAGUGAAAUUGUGAGGACUAAGGAGAGAGGCACCCAUGACUGCCUUAAUCCACUCCUACCCAUCGUCUCUUCACCCAUCCACCCAUCCUUGCUGCAGACCUUUACUGGGCACCUGUGCCAGGAGACCAUCACUGCCCAUCAGAAGCUCAUACAGGGAGAAGCAGUGGCCACAGCAGAAGGCGUCCCGGGUCCUAGAGAGCACCUGGAGAACAAGGGAGAGCUGCAGAAACCGCCCUGUCUGCAUGUGUGCCCUCAUGUUCUUGGGUGCAUGUCUGUGUUUGUGUGUGUGUUUGCUUAUGUGCAUGUGCAGUGUGUGUGUGUUCGAGACAGAGCGAGACUGAGAGUGCAAGUGGGUGUAAGCACACACACCCACCCGUCAGCCCUGCCUGUCUGCUCAGAGUUUUGCCUGUCACCCGGCCACGCCCUGUGACCCCCCUCCUCGGCUGGGUGCAGCCAGGACACCUGUUGCCAGCUGCGAGCACCUGCCUGGUUGCUGCGCCCGUGUCCUGUGCAUGUUCCAAGCCAGCCCCCUGGGGUAAUCCAGGCCAUGACUCAGGAACGUCAUGUUGGGACACCCGAGACCCCCAGCCCCUGCCCUAGGGGUCAGGGCAGCAGGUCCCAUCUCCCUUAGCUGGGCUGGGCCCAGGCAGCCUGUAUCACUGUUUGCUCCAGAGGCUGGGUGCGUCCUGCUUGGGGGCUGUGUGAGGCCCGCUUGUUUUCACCCACAGAUUCCCAGGGUUCUCAAGGCAGAGGAAAGCGACAAUUAGGGCAACACCCAUGUUGGUUGGAUCAGAGUGAAUCCCAGGCCUGCUUGGGAGGCUUUAGGCACUCAGCUCGGCCAUCUCUGAGGGUAAGGGCAUGUCAGCCACUCUGCUGGGGCAUCUCUGUGCUCAGCACCAUGUGGGCUCAUCACAGACACAAGAGUGCGUCCUCUCAGAGGGAAUGGUCUGGCAGGUUUUGCCUGUUUUCCUGCUCACAGGUUGAAUUUCUUGGCCAGCAUCCCAUAGCCAGGCCAGAGCGGAGCAGGGCUGCCUGCUGCACCCAGUGGCUUCUUGUCAAUCUCGGCCUCUCGUUCCCUGCCUGGGAGAGGGUCUCAGUGUGAAGGGCAGAGGGGUCUUCUGGAACCAGCCAGUGCUGUGUCGGAGAGAAAGACCAGGAGGAAAUUGGAGGGGUACAGGCCUGAAACUCUCCCGCUGCCUUGCCAGGCACCCAAACCUGCUUGACCUGAGUGUCUUUCCGGCGGCGGGUGGGGGGGAGGGGGGUGGGGCGUGCUGCAUCGCUUACUUUGCCUGUGUCUUAGGGGAGCCUACCCAUUGCCCUCCAGCACCGGCGAACAAAGACCCCCACGGUGGCCAGGCCUGUGCGGGGUGUAAACAGUGUCCCAGGGUGUCUUGGUGUCCUCACUACUACAUCCUCCACGUUCCAGAGGAGAAACUGAGGCCCGAGGACACCCAGAAUUUCCCAGGGUCACACCAAGGGGAAACAGGUGACGUUGAAGUGGACACAGGGUGAUGAGAGGGGUGCAGAAAAGGAGAUACCCUGGCAUGCCAAGCCUGGGGCUGGUUGUCCACAUCCAGGAAGGUCCCUGCAAGGUUGUGGCACCUUUUCAUGGCAAGCAGACGCAGCACCAUGAAUACCCACAGCCACUCCUAAGGGCCCCUUCAUGCGGUGGCUGUGCCCAGCACUGGGCACGCAGGAACCAAGGCCCAGAGAGUUCUGGGUGGGUGGGGAGAGCUAGAGCCUUCCUUCUGGGCUCCAGGGCUUUUCAGUAGCACCACUGGCUUUCUAGAAGGUUGCUGUGUGAUUGGAAACUUGUGCUUUGAGAUACGAUUAUCUGUGUGGGGAGGAGGUUGUACUGGAGUCAGCAGUGAGGGGUGGCAGCACUAGGCCAGAAAUGGAUGUGGGGUCCUCUUGCGUGGAGCUGCCACUCCCCCAGCCACUCUGUCCUUACAACCAAAACCCCAAAAGGGGGCUGAGCCGGCCCUUGUGAGUGAGAGUAGAGGAGAAGGAAGGGGCUGUGGGGGGAGAGAAGCACAUGGAGCUGGCCCACGUGGAGAGAGGGACCCUGGGUGGCAGGGUGGCGUUGGGGGAGAUUUGCCAUCAGAGUGACCUUAGUGACUGUGCCACCUCGACCCUGACCUGGGCAAUGCCUGUGAGGGCACUGGGGCCCAAGGUCCCAGAGGAGCAGGGGAACUAAGAUGUGGCUCUCACAGAACCUCAAAUGUAUCUCCAGACAUCCACAUAUCUGCACCUGACACACAUUUCUGGAACAGCUACUUGGCCAAGCACCACCAGUUUGUCUCUAUGCCCCUCUUGCUGGGGAGCCCAGUCUGGGGCAAAGGAAGGCACAGGGGCAUCCGCUCCAGGCUUUCCAGAAUAGGCAGAACACAGAAGGGGUGCCCGCCGGACACGCGGAGGGAGGAGAUGAGAAGAGUCCCCAGCGCCAGAAGGGGUGGAGACGGCCUUGCUGGGGCAGGGCCACAGGUCACCUGCUGCUGGGCUCUGGCUGCAGUGGGAAACAACCAAAGUUUUAAAAAGAGGGUGAACCUCUUAGGAAAGGAAAUGACAUUUAUAAAGAGGUAGGGACGUGGGGGCAGGGAUGAUGGCCUUGGUGGCCACAGCUCUUAAACCAGUGGGGAGGAGGCAGCCACGCCAGCAUGGUGAGAUCCAAGCCGCAGUGACGGGGCUGCACUCGCUCCAGGUAGAUUGCUCAAAUGGAAGCUUCUGGAUGGAUAACUAAGGCAGCACAACCCCCAGUCAUUGUCUGAGGGCCACCCUGGGGGAUGGAGCGAGUGCAGGCCAAGUGGAUGCAGGGCCCACGGCCAGUUUCCAGGGUGAGCUGCAGGGCAAGCCGUGGGAAGCCCCAGAGGCAGACGCUGAGGGAUGGGCACCCCAAGAGAGUCCAGGGAUCCGAGGCCACCUGGGUGGAGCCCGGACAGCGUCUACUCCAGGGAGCAAAGCUGAGGCAGGAGCCGAGGGCUUUCCAGUGGAUGUGGAGACUUCGGCUUACUCCCGCACUGACUUUAUCCCAUUUCUGAGCCUGUCGGCACGUGUAGAGCAUUUUGGGCUCAGUUUCUCUAGAGACUAACUGUGGCCUCCCAUGGGGUGGGGACAGGACAGUCUCCCGGCUGCAUGGAAUGGGAUGCCGACCGAGGGACGGGCUCUCUCUUAAAGACUUGCCACCACACCUCUCUUGUCCAUGCCAGGCUUCUGGGGUCCCCUCUGCUGCAGGUGCUUCGGGAGUCUCAGUGGUUCUUCAGGGCAAAGCUGGCCCUGACCGUGUGCUGCAUGCCCGGAGGUCUGACAUCGGUGCUGCUGAGUGGCCUGCCGUGGUUCUCUUGGUUUCCCAUCUUGCAAAGAGUCGGUGAACUCUCACCUGCUCUUGUCUCCUCGUCUCUGUGCCCUGUCCUCCUGCGGGGCUUGGGAAACCAUAGGUGAUAAACACAUGAGCCAAUCUGCCAUCUCCACUGGAGCCAAUGCUCUUUCUGUGUUCCCAUUGGCCUGCCUAGGACUGAGGUCAGCUCCAGGGUCAGAGGCAGGACUGGAGUUGGGUUCUAACUGAGGCAGAGACAGGGCUUGGGAGAAGAAAUCAAGGUGGAGGGCAGAGGCUCCAGGUCUUUGCCAGGCUCACCUCAGAAGUGGGUGUGUCAGGCUGUCCAGAGUGGAGUGCACAGAAGCUGGGGCUUUGACAAGGGCAGGGUGACCAGUCCAGGCUGGCCUCAAAGGCAAGAGCUUGACUGCAGGGCCAGCAGGCGUGUGAUGUGGGUGGGCCCUAAGGAGGCUGAGGGAGAGGAUAAACUGUGAAGAGCCAGCAGCCCAGAAGCUAAAUGCAGGGAGGCAGAGAAGACAGGAGAGAUGGAGGCUUGCAGGACCUGGUGGUUGGGGAGGGCCAGUGACCAGGUGUUUAGAAGCAGCACCUCCUGUGAUUGGGGCUGAGGGUGAACUCUGCUUUCAAGCAGAGGUGGUUUGUCGUGGGUCUUCCAUGAUGACACCAGGUCAAGGUAGGCUGUUAGCACUGAGGCCUGUGGGAAGGCGAGGCCCGUGGGCAGAGUCCCAGAAUGGGAGGAAAAUGAAGACAGCCACUGCAGGGACUUGGGUGUCAUUCUGAAGGAAGCCACUUAAUGGUAAAUGGAGCAACAACAUGGUAGCCUUUCCUCUGGGGGAGCCCAGAGACAAGGGGGGUCUGGGGAGGCAGGCAGGCAGGCAGGCAGGUCAGGCCAGGGAGGGGCUGUGCCCAGCAGGGAAUGGAUGGCACACUCCCUCCCAGAAAGGCUGCUGCAGGGCUCAGCACUCUGAACCUUAAAAGGUUUACCCAACAGAGCCUCCAGAUGCUCAGAGUCUUGCAGGCUCAGAACAAGAAUUGUCAACUUGCCAAGAUGAAUCUGUCUCUCGGGGGAGGACCCACACAGAACAAACGUUUGAAGCAGAAGUUUGCUUGGUAAACAUGGAAUCGGAACAUGGGAAUUGGGCCACUGGGAUAUUCAAUUGCGUCAGACCAUUGUAGCUGAUACUCCUGGACAGAGGGGCUUUGCCAACUGGACAGAUAUAUGAAGUGUUGCUGACCGAGCUCCUUGCUCUGUGUGGGAGGGAUCUUGCCAGCUCCAGCCUUGGUGGGUCUCCUUUUUCUGUUUCCAAGCUUAAAUAAGCACUUGGCUGUUCUGAUUAGCACUUUUAAAAGCUGUGUUAAUAAGUUCAAUUAAAAUAGAAGAAUCUCUCAUUCUGUCAUAUCGGGUUUUUUUAAUUGCAAACCAAUAAAACUUAAAUGAACUUGAGCAAAA
rnacentral:lncRNA from 1 species